rnacentral:sRNA from 1 species
UUCUCGUAUUCUGUAAUUUAAAAACAAGGUUGAUUUCACGUCAGGAUACGUUAGUGGGUAAGCAUUAUGUAUUGUAGGCCUUUACCAAGACGCCUGGUGUGUACCUUGUAAGUCCUUUAUAUAGGCCAUCGUGAGGUAUUCUGUCACAGCAGCACUGUCUGUCAGUACAAGCAAGAUGUCUACCAGGGCAGACACGGAUAUAUCUGGUGGAGAGGCCAGCUCUAGCAACAGAAUUCUACAAACUUCAAUUCACUGAAUACAGGCAACCCUAAGUACUUACAUGUUUAACGUCUCUGUUUACCUUCUCCACGACAAAAUCCGCCAUUGUUCUCCUGUUGGCUGCCGUGGUCCUGUUUCUGACAUCUUACGAAAAGAAUGAUCAACGACUUAAUGGAGCAAAGCCAAUGCAAUACACUGUAUGACGUACGUAUAAAAUCAUCAUCAGCAAAAUGGACUGAAAUCGUUAUAUAGUGGUUCGUUUGAACACUUAUAGUCGACGAAACAAACUUGAUUAUCUGUUAAGAUUUUUUUUUACCUGAUUCCAAACCAUCUCGAGAAACUCCGGCUUUUUCCCAAACCCAGUUCAGCUGUACAAGUGAAAGAAUAUGUUCAAGGAACUUACAUGUAUAUGAUUGUAUAUGUUGAUAUUUCACAACCUUCCAAUGGACAUGUAAUAGAUGGAUGGCACUGAAUGAAAUUAUGUCCAAAUAUUUACAUUUUCACUGUCUUUGUCGGUGAUAACACUAAAAAUCGGUUUUGUAAUGUAUAAUCCAUACAAUUCAUCAAUG